AUCUGCUCUCCUGUUUUCCAGCAGGAGGGAAAUGGAGGAAUUAAGUGCAGACACAGUAGGCCGCCAGGCGUUUGGCCUCGAGGCUCACACCAAGAAGUAAGGGGGCCUUCUACCCUUCCAGCCUGGACAUUUUCACCUGAAGUACAAGGAGAGAUAAUCAAGGAUAUCUUGCUUUAUCCCCCAGCCUCAUUCCCAGGAGUCAGGUAAAGUCUUCCUUAAGGCCUGCCUGGUCCCAGAUGGUGAGAAUCACCUGAUUAGUGCCUGCUUGGGAUGCAUCAUUGAUGUUUUUGUUAAGAGUAACUUAAUUUACUUCUGCAACCCAUUUUUAUUGAGUGCCUGCAAUGUGUCAGGUUCCAUGGAUCCUGAUCCAGUUGUGCUUAUGGUGUAGUGGUAAUAGGAGAUGACAUUUUUAAGCACUCCCUGUAAGCCAGGCACCAGGCUAAGCACUUCACAUGCAUUAACUUGAUGGAUUCACUCUCACUUGAUUCCACAGCCCUCCUGUGGGAUGAGUGCAUUAUUCUUCCAUUUAUGGAUGGGAAGUAUGAGGCCUAUAAAUGUUCAGUAACUGGCUCAGGACUGGUGUAAGAGUCAGGUUGGCAGUUAUGCUGAGGUAACACCCUCAAAACCUAAGUGGCUUAAAACAACAAGGAUUUAUUUUUCACUUACACUGCAUGUCCAUCAUGCAUGACAGAUCUCUGCUCUACACUGUUGUCACUUUGAGACCAGGCUGCAAAACUCACACUGGCUUUACAGAUAUCACGUCCCAGGCCAGAACAAGUCAUGUGGCCACAGCCAGUGUGUCGUGUGGGGAGGUCUAAUCCUACUGCACAGGAUAAAAGAUCUGGAAAUGUUUGGAAAUAGCACCAGUGACUACCCCAGCCAGGAGAUGGGAACCAGGAAUUGGACCCAGGCACCACUGGGGAGAGAAGUUUACAAAGCACAUACCAGACGAGACAGCAGGAGCCAGGCGCUGCACAUCACCGCCUCUCGCUGGGGCUGUGCAGCUGCCACCAGGAGGCCCAGAAUUCCUUGCGGAGCUUCUUGGCUACAAGAAACUUACAAGGUCUUCUAAUGUUGACCACUGGAGGAUCCUUCAAGUUGGUUCCUGUGUCCUUUUGACACACCCCAUCAUUUUUUUUUGACCCUAUCCUUUCUUGAGCACUUCCUUAUUUUAUGGAACUACAAAAUGUCUUAGGCUCUGUUUUUGUUUCUUUCUGCCCUAACUCUGGAAUCAAGUUUUUCCUUAGGAGCUCUACUUCAAUUGAGUGGAGAAACCAAGAUCAGGGUGCUAGGCGACCAGAUGGAGUUUUAAUCAGCAAAGUAAAUACCAGAGGGAAGAAUAAAAAAUAGACAUUGGUGUUUAGACUCCAUGGUGCCAGAAUUUCUCACAGGCUGCAAUCAAGGUGUGGAUUGGACUGCAGUCAUCUUGAGGAUCAACCGGAGAUAGAUUUGCUUCCAAACUCAUGUUGUUACCAAGAUUUGCAUCCUUGUGGGUUGUUGGACUGGAGGCAUUAGUUCCU